rnacentral:lncRNA from 1 species
UUUAAUGAGGUGCAAAGGAAAAAUGACUUUCAUAAGUUCACAUAGCUGUAAUUAUAUUGUCUCCCGUGUUCACCACCCUCACAGACCUGUCCGGAUCUUCUGUCAUCACUACAAUAGAAGACAAGGGGAUGAGCUGAUAAGAGUCUACAUUUGCUACUUACUUCAAUAUUUACACAACGACCGAAGCUGAUUGAGCAGGAAUAAUGAGACUUUGACAUUCUGCACUGCACAAGGUAAAGGAAAACUUGUUUCCACUGGGUGGAGUUUGU